rnacentral:rRNA from 1 species
UACGAAGGGGGCUAGCGUUGUUCGGAAUUACUGGGCGUAAAGCGCGCGCAGGCGGCUUUGUAAGUUAGAGGUGAAAGCCCGGAGCUCAACUCCGGAAUUGCCUUUAAGACUGCAUCGCUAGAAUCAUGGAGAGGUGAGUGGAAUUCCGAGUGUAGAGGUGAAAUUCGUAGAUAUUCGGAAGAACACCAGUGGCGAAGGCGACUCACUGGACAUGUAUUGACGCUGAGGUGCGAAAGCGUGGGGAGCAAACAGG